GGAUGUAAGGGCAAUCUGGUUGUAGUAUCUGUUACUUCCUUGAUCACCAGGUUGAUCUGUGUGGCUGCGUGGAUAUCCCCUUCGUCACUGCUUCACGUGUGUCCCUUCAAAACCGUGUGCUUGGUUGAAGAGGGCAACCUCUCCCAAUAAGAGGAGGACCUCUUCCUCAGUCCGAGAUGUAAAGUAGCUGUGCUUCCCAGAUAGAACCUUGAAACAAGCUCCCAAAGGUUGCUUGGGUUUUACAUACUUGUCAGCUUUCCCUCUUUCUCAUUAGGCUAGAAAAGAAGGUAACAUUUCAUUGUCU
ensembl:misc_RNA 7SK 7SK RNA